rnacentral:misc_RNA from 1 species
UGGCUCUGGCAUNGAUGAAGAGCGCAGCGAAAUGCGAUAAGUAAUGUGAAUUGCAGAAUUCCGCGAAUCAUCGAAUCUUUGAACGCACAUUGCGCCCCUUGGCAUUCCAGGGGGCAUGCCUGUCCGAGCGUCAUCGCAAGGUACCUCUCGAGCCCUGCUCGGUGUUGGGCCGCGCCGCUCUAGGCGGCGGGCCUCGAAUCUCGUGGCGGGCCCUGCGGGCUCCGAGCGCAGUAGCCUCUCGCUCGGGGGUUCGCAGGCACGGCCAGCAAGCCCCUACAGGUAUACCUCGGAUCAGGUAGGAGUACCCGCUGA